rnacentral:lncRNA from 1 species
UUUUUUAAUUACAAACUCAAUUCAUUUGGUGCAUUUCAAAGGUGCAAUACUUUUCUUCAUUUAUCAGUGAAAGAAGUUAGAAAUUAACUUCCCAAAAAAAUCAGCAAAUGGCAAACAAAUGUCCUUGAAAGUCACAGUCACAUAUAGUGCGUCCUAGAAAAGAGGAGGGGCAAGACGGGCUCCACCCACUUUCAUGAGUUUCAUCAAAUACUGGAUCUACUCAAGGGUGGAGAGAAAAGGCAACUUUCAAAAAGGAGUAUGUUAUUAAAUGAGGCAUUUACUAUACUCCUUCCUAAGAGCACCAGAUGGGGAACAUGUUUUCUAAACUAGAUCUAGGAAAUGGAAUGUGGAAUCAAUCCGUCCUCCUCCCCUUAAGGGCUAACCACUGGUUAAUGAAUUAAAAAAACAAGACUAAAAAACAAACCCCACACACACUCCCCCCCAAAAAAAGAGGAGGGAAAAAAAACAAAACAAAACACUAAGAUGUCCCAGAUUACUCUCCAGAGUGGAACCAGGGAGCAGCUUCAACAAUUCCAAUUAGUCUGUUACAGAGUCAUCCAUAAGCAUGCCUUGCUUUUAAACA